rnacentral:lncRNA from 1 species
CUUUGGGAGCGAGCAGUUCGCCGUGAAGGGUGGCGCACUAAGGAUGGAGACCGCCUGUGCUCUGUACAUUUCACUCCUGAGUGCUUUGACCGCACUGGGAAACGACGCGAUUGCGAGUGGGAAGUGUGCCCACGUCGUUUCCAGCUUCUCCGCCUCAUCUGCAGAAACCUGUCAAACAGAAGCGUCCCGACCCCAAGUCUCGAGAUUUCCCGGCCCCGCCUGGUCCUGAGCGUUCUGGGUUGUGCGACCUGCCUGGAGCUGAAAAUUUUCCUGAAGACUCGCCAACCAAACAGUUCUACAAAGACAAGGUCCUUUCCUCACAAGAAGAGAUAACCCAGUUGAAGAAGAAGGUCAAAACACUGCA